rnacentral:rRNA from 1 species
GAUGAACGCUGGCGGCGUGCCUAAUACAUGCAAGUCGAGCGAACAGACGAGGAGCUUGCUCCUCUGACGUUAGCGGCGGACGGGUGAGUAAAACGUGGAUAACCUACCUAUAAAACUGGGAUAACUUCGGGAAACCGGAGCUAAUACCGGAUAAUAUAUUGAACCGCAUGGUUCAAUAGUGAAAGACGGUUUUGCUGUCACUUAUAGAUGGAUCCGCGCCGCAUUAGCUAGUUGGUAAGGUAACGGCUUACCAAGGCAACGAUGCGUAGCCGACCUGAGAGGGUGAUCGGCCACACUGGAACUGAGACACGGUCCAGACUCCUACGGGAGGCAGCAGUAGGGAAUCUUCCGCAAUGGGCGAAAGCCUGACGGAGCAACGCCGCGUGAGUGAUGAAGGUCUUCGGAUCGUAAAACUCUGUUAUUAGGGAAGAACAAAUGUGUAAGUAACUAUGCACGUCUUGACGGUACCUAAUCAGAAAGCCACGGCUAACUACGUG